CCUACGGGUGGCAGCAGUGAGGAAUAUUGGUCAAUGGGCGCGAGCCUGAACCAGCCAAGUAGCGUGAAGGAUGACUGCCCUACGGGGUGUAAACUUCGUUUAUAAAGGAAUAAAGUGAGGCACGUGUGCCGUUUUGUAUGUACUUUAUGAAUAAGGAUCGGCUAACUCCGUGCCAGCAGCCGCGGUAAUACGGAGGAGCCGAGCGUUAUCCGGAUUUAUUGGGUUUAAAGGGAGCGUAGAUGGGUUGUUAAGUCCGUGGGGAAAGUUUGCGGCUCAACCGUAAAAUUGCAAUUGAUACUGGCAGUCUUGAGUACAGUUGAGGUAGGCGGAAUUCGUGGUGUAGCGGUGCACUGCUUAGCUCUCAC
rnacentral:rRNA from 1 species